UGAGGUCAAUGUCAGAACCAAGGUAAAGC
rnacentral:piRNA from 1 species